CGUAGCUCAGUUGGAAGAGCAUUGGGCUAGUAUUCCAAAGGUCGUAGGUUCGAAUCCCACCGUGGCCGGGCAUAUUUUUCGGGCUCGCCCGGUGUGGAUAUGCACUCAGAGUAACAUCACAAACAUAUUAUUCACCUGAGUACACAACACCAGCACAGAAAAAAUUCAUAUUACAAGAACACAUUGGCAUUGAAGGAACUAGAUACUGUUCCGAAAUAUCACUUACUCGAACCGUCCUGACCGCGUAGCUCAGUUGGAAGAGCAUUGGGCUAGUAUUUCAAAGGUCGUAGGUUCGAAUCCCACCGUGGCCGGGCAUAUUUUUCAAGCUCGCCCGGUGUGGAUAUGCACUCAGAGUAACAUCACAAAACAUAUUAUUCACCUGAGUACACAACACCAGCACAGAAAAAAAAAUUCAUAUUACAAGAACACAUUGGUAUUGAAGGAACUAGAUACUGUUCCGAAAUAUCACUUACUCGAACCGUCCUGACCGCGUAGCUCAGUUGGAAGAGCAUUGGGCCAG